GUUUUCGUGGUGUAGUCGGUUAUCACGUGCGCCUCACACGCGCAAGGUCCCCGGUUCGAACCCGGGCGGAAACA